GCAGCGGAUCUGCUCGGCGUGCGCACGCAGCAACGUCUCAGAGUCUUCAAACUCACCCACGAUUUCCUUAAACCAGGAGAGGACCAUCACGUUAAGGGGAAUCAGGGACCCAGAGGGCACUGCAAACAAAGCCAGCCUACUGAAAUCCUUCAGAGGUUAGGCCUGCUCAGGGGAGGCUGAGGGCCACGCAGGCGCCAGGCUCUCCAGGUUACCUUGUCUAAUCAGCUCUGCAGUCUUGUGAGGUCAGUCCUAGCAUCCCAACUUUGCAGAUAAGGAAAUGGAUGCUCAGAGCCCUGGACCACAGAAUCCAAUAAAACCAGGCUUGGGACCUGGGUCUACUGGAGCCUGAGACCGGAGCUCCUUGCUGCCUCCAGAAUGAUUAGACCAAGAGCAGAUGUGGCUACUUGAUGAUGGCCCACGGGCUGUGUCCCGUCUGCACAUGUGUUGUCUGGCUCGCAAAAUGUUUUCUUAAAAAAUACAUAUUGGUUGCCAACAUUUGAAAAUAGAGGGAUUACCCACAAAAAUUAAGAUUUCUGGCUUCUCUUGAGAAACAGAAGUGCUUGCAACACGAGGUCCACAUUCCUGCAUGGCAGCUGCCUGCACCAGGGGUGAGUACCGGCUCCUCUGAGGGCAGUGGCGGGAAAGUGAAAGAUAUCCCCUACUUAUCACAAUACGAGAAAGGCUGUGAGGGUGGACGUUCUUUAGACCUGGUGCGUUUCACUCAUUUCCAGCACCUGCCAGGCCCCUGGGAGCACCCAAGCCUUUGACCUCUGGGUGAGGGUCUAGGACUUCAGGGGAGGCCUGCAGCAUCCUUUCAGAUUAGUGUUCUAGGGCAGGGCUUCUCAAAUUUUAACGUGCACACAAAUCCCUAGCGAUCUUGUUAAAGUUCUGAUUUCUUAGAUGUGGAUUGGGGCUUGAGUGAGUGCUGCUAAUAAGUUCCCAGGUGGUCUGGGACUGCACUGUGAGGCGCAGGGUAAGGGGUUGGGGUCUCUGGCUAUGCCAGUUAUUUCCUAUGCCAGGAUUCAGGUUUGCAUGCCUAAUCCUCAGCACCUGUCAGCUCCCCUCCAUCCCCCAGCUUCUGGGGUUCAGCACCUUCCAUGCUCCUGCCCUGGGAAUUCACCUGUAGUUCCCGUAGGCACUGCCCUUCCAGCUGGAGAUGUGCAUCACCCACGCACCAGGCCAGACUGAUGUGGAAUGAGGGGUCCUGCGGAGGAACGGCGGGGAGACAGGCGGUCACCUGGAGGUCGUGGCAGGCUCAGACAUCAAAGCAGCUCUGUGACAGAGUUGUCACGGUAUCCCUGCUGCAUCCCUGACCUGAUUCAUGGGAGACUAGAGCCUCAGUGUUGAUCCCAAGCACCCUCCACAGACAGAUAAAAUAGCCCUGGGUUGGUCCCUGCUAUGGACUGAAUUGUGCCCCCAAAUUCAUAUACUGAAGCCUUAACCCCCACUGUGAUGGUAUUUGGAGAAGGGGCCUUUGGGAGGUAAUUAGGUUUAGAUGAAGGUGGGGCCUUCAUCUAAAGGUGGGGCCCUCAUGAUGGGAUUAGUGCCCAUAUAAGAGACGGCAGAGAGCUGCUUCCUCUCUCUUUCCAUCAUGUGAGGACACAGUGAGAAGAUGGCCAUCUACAAGCCAGGAAGAGAGGCCUCAACAGAAACUGACCGUGAUGGCACCUUGGUUUUGGACGUCUAGCCUCCAGAACUGUGAGAAACAUGAUUUUAAAAGAAUAUAUCAAGCAAAACCACUGGCCCUUUAAAGCCCUGAUAUUCGACUUGGAGUUCCAGUUCCCCUGGAGGAAGGUAUGCGAAGCUGCAACUCUACCUGGAGUGUCAACGUGACUAAAAGGUAUUGGGGAAAACUACUUCCUAAAAAAUAUAAAAAUAAACAUGGAUACAUUAUAGAGUAGAAGACAUAAAUCUCAUGCAUAUUGAAGACACCUCAGCCCUCAACUCCCCAGGGUUGUGUGUCCUCUGAGGGCUGGCCGAAUGGACACUUCCCACGGGCAAGUUCUGGAGGGCUCUUCGGUUUGCCUCUAACAAGGGUUUCUUUAAGACUGAUUUUAUUCCUAUUAGAGAUGGGUCAGUGGAGAGAAAAAGACGCUGCUGAUUACCUGGUAGAAAGUGGUGAGGUCAAACUCCUCCAUGACCCUGUCCACCUCUGAAACCAGGUCCAGGAAUUGGGUGUGUCCCGAGGUGACCUCGAGUCCAACAAAGGUCCUGGGGGGAGACAGAGGUGGAGACCACACGGGCAUGAGACGCAGCCUGAGAACAGAAACCAUCCUCGAGGGGGCAGAGGAUGCGACAGAGGAAAGCCGGGAGGGAGGGAGUUCUGGGCCGUGAGUUCAGUUCGUUUCCCUGCUCUCCGAGCUGGCUCUCCAUCCUUCCCCGGCUCUAAUCGCACAUCCCCCCUCCUUCCCCAGGGUCUAAGAACCCUAGCAGGGCCGUCUUCAUCUGCUGCUGCCAAGGCUACGGACCCCCAGGCUGUGGCGCCCAGGCUUGCCGGCAUAGCUCCCAUGUCGGACUCUUUCUCCAGGGCUUCCCUCUCUGGCACUUCCCUCUCCCUCCCGCUAAUCUCUAAAACCCCUCCCUUGAACCCACACCCUCAGCCAGCCCCCAUCCCAUGCCCGGUAAAACGUGCGUUCCGACGAUUUGUCUCCCUCGGCAGUCUCUCACGCCUCCCCUCCCAUCUUCAGUCCACUCGGCCAGAAACCGCUCCGUCAAAGCUGCCAACCACCUGUGUUCCUGAACUCAGAUACUUGACUCCUCCCUCCCUGAAGCCCUUUUUUCUCUUGGCUUCCAAGAGACCACCCACCACACCGUCCUGGUGUGACCCCACCUCUGGCCUCCUGUUCUGUCUCCUCUGCCGCCCUCUCUUCUUUCCAGCCUCUAAAUGGUCAGGGGCUGCAGAGCCGGCGUCGCCCGCCCUCCCCCGCAGGCUGAUCUCACCCAGCCCUGCUUUCAGUAUCACACAGCCCGAUGGAUCCCACAUUUCUAUCUCCGGCUGGCACCUCUCUUGUAUACCCACUUGUGUAUGCGACUCUUCCACCCGGGGGUCUCAUAGGCAGCAAAAUCCACCAGGUACAAAGCAGAACUUCUCAUCUUCCUCCCACAGGUGUUUCCCAUCACAGACAAUGGGGCCAUUUAUCUAUAUUUACCUAGCUGUUCAAACCCCAAACCCAGGAAUCUACUUUAAUUCUUCCCCUUACUGUGCACAGACCCAACCCACUGGUAAUUCCAGUUGAUUCUACCUCCAGUAUAUCGGGAAUGUGUCUGCUUCUUGGCUCUUCCACUGCCAUCGCCCUAAGCCGGGCCACCACUGGCGCCUCACCUGUCUCCUGUCUGCUCUCCCUGCAUCCAACCUCGCUCUUUUAGAUCUUUCUUCCACUCAGGAGCCACAGACACAGACACGAUAGGGCCGGACUGACGUUUACAAAUGUAAAUUGGAUCACAUCUCUGCUUAGAUCCCUCCGAUGGCUUCUGUGACACUGAAAAUCCAAACUCCUGACCUUGACCUUGAAGGCCCUGUGGGAGUUAACCCUGCCUGACUCAUCUCCUCACACUCUCCCACGUGCUCCCCAAGUUCUGCUUCACUGGCCUCCUCCAACAUGCCAGGCUCUUUCCUCCUCAGUCACCUCCUUGGCUGUGUCCUCUGCUUGGAGGCUCCUGGGGUAGCUCUUCCCAAGGCUGAUUCCUUCUUGUCCUCAUGUCGCCAGCAAAUGCCACCUUGCUAGCGCCCUCCUCGGCCACUUGCUCCAAACUAUCGUUUCACACGAUAGUUAUUAAUGAUCUCAUUUCCUUGUUUAUUGUCUGUCUCCCCUGCAGAAUGUGAGAUCCCACAGAGCAGGGACUAUGCCGACCUUUUCACUGCUGAUCUGUAGUGUACAGCAGGUGCCUGGCACCGGGAGGUGUUUAACGAAUUUGUGAAGCAUAGAAUGAAUGAAUGAAUGAGUGAAUGAGUACUCUUCUUAGAGGUGCUGAGAGCAGAAGGCAGCUCAGAUCCAGUGAGUGGAUCUGACAGGGAGGCUUGCUUUGAAGCCUUGAUAACAAGUUUCUUCGUAUGUUCAUCUCAUCCUUGAAUGCUUUUAUAAAACUUGUUUCGUUCAUCUAAGCUUCACAACUGCCCAAUGAUGGAUGCUUGGAAAUGGGACAGGAUGUGAUGGAUGAUGUGACAGCUUGGAAAUGGCAGGUCACAGAGGUUGAAGGUAUGAGCUCAACAUUAAAUUGCAGGCAGAGCUGGUCAGGCACCCAGGUUUUCUUUGAGUCUCAGACUUUUCCCACUAAACCAAGAUGUUGUUCUCUCCCUCUGCUCCUCCUCCCAUGCUCCCUGAGUUAUUUUUCUUAAUGAAAGGUUCAGAUUUGGGAACAGCUGCCCUUGUAGUCAUAGGGCCGGUUAGAACACAAACAAACAAAAAAUUGAGAGAGACAAGACCUCCUCAAGUCUUUACUCCAAAGAAUCCUCUUCUGGAAACAACUGGGGGCAGCGUGGGGAGACCCACCUGGUCUUCUCUUGAUUGGUGUAAAUCUUUACCCGGUCGGCAGUAAAGCAGAAUCUGAAAUUUAGAAGAAGGACCACAUUUCAGGAAGAAUAAUAAGGAAAAAAAUCAGAGAAAAUAGUGUAUAUUCAAAAACAUUACUUUGAAAAUUCAGUUAACUCAUUUCACAUUUAGUAUUGUCACCCUAUUAUACAGGUGGUAAACUGAACCCUAAAAUAUUAGAGCUGGGCAAGACCUUAAAUAAUCACCCAGUCCAGGUAACACAUAGCUUCACUCAGAUGCUAGCAAAAAUUUUACUUUAUUAAGAGCAGCUGAUUCCAAUAAGCGAUUUGCGACUACCCCAGCUUUACUGAUGGGAACUGAGAAAGUCAUCAGGCCGGUGAUAAUAGAUCACUUAAGAGCCAGUUUUUUUCUUUGCAGGUUAACAAGACAAUUCUGAUCCAGUCUAAGCAACAACAAGAACAUUUCUGUGUGCCUGGGCUGAGCUUGGGGAUCCUCAUACAACUCUGUGAGGCAGGCGCUAUAAUGACACCCAUUUUACAGACACAGAAACUGAAGCUUGGUGAGGCUGAAUUUGCUACACAUCAGGGAUCUGUGUAACACCUCAUCAGAAGAAAGGACUCUGCAGAUAAGACCAGGAGUAGAAAACCACCACCUGGAUGGCUUCUUAGGCUCCUACUGGAACCAACAUUCAGAGGAUCCAGAGGAGGAUUUCUGGGCUCUCUCUCUCCUGCUCAGUCAUUCAACAAACACCUAUUUGAUGCCUAUAGUGAGCAAGGCACCUGGAAAAAAGCUGUGGGGUAAUUCAGAGAGCAGCCGCAUUCCUGGCCUGCAGGACUUGGGCUCCAAGCGGGAGAUGGGACAUGGGGAUGACUGAAUAUGGAUAUGAGGAUGAGUGGAACGAGCACUGGGGUAUAGACAAGCACAGGACAGCAGGGUCCCUGGGAUUGAAGAAUUCUGGAGGAGAUACCAAUUGGGACAGCCUCAGUGAAGGAGCAGUGCUUUGAUCUGGCCAAGUCUCGAAGGAGGGGCAUUUCUAGUAGAAAGAAGAGGUAUGAAAUAGUCAAGGGAAAAGAAGCCUAGGCUGGCAGAUAAAACCAGAGUGGGGGUGAGCUCUGAUCGUUCGCCAAGCGCCACGUUGAGGGUAUGCGUGAUCUCAUUCACUCUUACAAGUCCCCCUCUGAGGGAGCCACCACCACUCCCCUGACCCGCACACAGGUAAGGCUCGGAGGCUUCCAGAGCUUACGUGGCACGCCCAAGGGCACAUGGGAUGAAGCGCGCAGCAGGCGGCUCUGGGAGAUGUUCGAUGUGCUAACCUUUAGGUUUGCCUGCUUGAAGGGGUAGUGCCUUCCACAGGUCCAUCCCCACAAGAGCUCAGGACAGGAAGAGGAGCCUUGAAGGGGAGGGAGAUGAGGGGCAGAGGGAAGCACUGGGCACUCACCUCUGGAAGGAGGCCACGCGGUCUUUCAGAGCCUGCA